UGAAUUUGGUUAAGUAGCAGGAUACAAAAUUAAUGCACAGACAUGUCUGGAAUUCCUAUACACUAAUAAUGAAAAAUCUGAAAUUGAAAUCAAGAAAACACUCCCGUUUACCAUUGCAACAAAAAGAAUAAAAUAUCUAGGAAUAAACCUACUUAAGGAGACAAAAGACAUGUAUGCAGAAAAUUAUAAGACACUGAUGAAAGUAAUUAAAGAUGAUACAAAUAGAUGGAGAGAUAUACCAUGUUCUUUGAUUGGAAGAAUCAACAUUAUGAAAAUGACUGUACUACCCAAUGCAAUCUAGAGGUUCAAUGCAAUCCCUAUCAAACUACCACUGGUAUUUUUCACAGAACUAGAACAAAAUAUUUCAAAAUUUGUAUGAAAACACAAAAGACCCUUAAUAUCCAAAGCAAUCAUGAGAACGAAAAGCGGAGCUGCAGUAAUCAGGCUCCCUGUCUUCAGACUAUACUACAAAGCUACAGCAAUCAAGACUGUAUGGUACUGGCACAAAAACAGAAAGAUAGAUCAAUGGAACAGGAUAGAAAGCCCAGAUAUAAACCCAUGCAUAUAUGGUCACCUUAUCUUUGAUAAAGGAGGCAGGAAUGUACAGUGGAGAAAGGACAGCCUCUUCAAUAAGUGGUGCUGGGAAAACUGGACAGGUACAUGUAAAUGUAUGAGAUUAGAUCACUCCCUAACAGCAUACACAAAAAUAAGCUCAAAAUGGAUUAAAGACCUAAAUGUAAGGACAGAAACUAUCAAACUCUUAGAGGAAAACAUAGGCAGAACACUCUAUGACAUAAAUCACAGCAAGAUCCUUUUUUAACCACCUCCUAGAAAAUGGAAAUAAAAACAUAAAUAAAGAAACUGGACCUAAUGAAACUUCUAAGCUUUUGCACAGGAAAGGGAACCAUAAGCAAGACCAAAAGGCAACCCUCUGAAUGGGAGAAAAUAUUUGCAAAUGAAGCAACUGACAAAGGAUUAAUCUCCAAAAUUUACAAACAGCUCAUGUAGCUCAAUAACAGAAAAACAAACAACCCAUUCCAAAAAUGGGCAGAAGACCUAAAUAGCGAUUUCUCCAAAGAAGAUAUACAGAUUGCCAAAAAAUACAUGAAAGAAUGCUCAACAUCAUUAAUCAUUAGAGAAAUGCAAAGCAAAAGUACAACGAGAUAUCAUCUAACACCAGUUAGAAUGGCCAUCAUCAAAGAAUCUAGAAACAAUAAAUGCUGGAGAGGGUGUGGAGAAAAGGGAACACUCUUGCACUGCUGGUGGGAAUGUGAAUUGGUACAGCCACUAUGGAAAACAGUAUGGAGGUUCCUUAAAAAACUACAAAUAGAACUA